GCUGGGUGUGGUGACGCAGGCCUAUAAUCCCAGCAGCUCUGGAGGCUGAGGCAGGAGGAUCAUGAAUUCAAAGCCAGCCUCAGCAAAAGCAAGACCCUCAGCAACUCAGUGAGACCCUGUCUCUA
rnacentral:sRNA from 1 species